rnacentral:lncRNA from 1 species
GAAACCCUGUCUCAAAAAAACAAACAAACAAAAAAUACAAAAAUAUUAUAAGAAUAUUUUUUCAUUUUAAUCCCAAGUAUGCAGAUAUGGGGCUGCUUCAGACUGUCUAUGAUUUGCCUCAUGUUCUAGCAGAGGCAUGGUUCUGCCAGCUAUAGAUAGUUCCUGUGAUUGUGCAGUGUCUGGGAUUCUGGGAACUUUUCAGAGUGUGUAUAAAUGCCAGCCCCAAUAUGUGGAGUCGGGGGGUUGGUGGUCAUUUAGGGAAGUUGUGAUUUACUAGUAGUGUUGGUCAAAGAAGAAACGAAAGAAAUUAAAUUCAGGGAUUUUCCUAAUUCCUCCUUGUUUCUCUCUUAUGAAGUGUUAGAGGGUGAAACCCGGGUGGGGAUGGGAGUGGGAAGGGAGUAUCAAGGGUGGGAAAAAGAAGAACCCACAAAGUAGCAAAGACCAUUCACACUGCAUAGCAGCUAAAAUGUCCUGCUUUGAUCUCCAACACUGUAUAGAACUGGGUGUGUUUAUGUUUAUGAUCCCACGACUUGAAAGGAGGGGCUGGGAAGUUCAAGGUCACCCUCAGAUACACAACAAGUGUAAGGCUUCCCUGGGCUCCAGGAGAACCACAUUCAAAACAGAAAACUAGAAGAAAGAUAAAGAUCAGACAAAAUAAGCCGGGCGUGGUGGCACACAGGCCUUUAAUCCCAGCACUUGGGAGGUAGAAGCAGGCGGAUUUCUGAGUUCGAGGCCAGCUUGGUCUACAGAGUGAGUUCCAGGACAGCCAGGGCUACACAGAGAAACCCUGUCUCGAAAAACC